rnacentral:tRNA from 1 species
UGGGAUGUAGCUCAGUGGUAGAGCAUUUGCUUAGCAUGUACAUGGCCCUGAGUUCAAUCCCCAGCACCACAA